ACUCCUACGGGAGGCAGCAGUGGGGAAUAUUGGACAAUGGGCGCAAGCCUGAUCCAGCCAUACCGCGUGGGUGAAGAAGGCCUUCGGGUUGUAAAGCCCUUUUGUUGGGAAAGAAAAGCAGCCAGCUAAUACCUGGUUGUUCUGACGGUACCCAAAGAAUAAGCACCGGCUAACUUCGUGCCAGCAGCCGCGGUAAUACGAAGGGUGCAAGCGUUACUCGGAAUUACUGGGCGUAAAGCGUGCGUAGGUGGUUGUUUAAGUCUGUUGUGAAAGCCCUGGGCUCAACCUGGGAAUUGCAGUGGAUACUGGACGACUAGAGUGUGGUAGAGGGUAGUGGAAUUCCUGGUGUAGCAGUGAAAUGCGUAGAGAUCAGGAGGAACAUCCAUGGCGAAGGCAGCUACCUGGACCAACACUGACACUGAGGCACGAAAGCGUGGGGAGCAAACAGGAUUAGAUACCCUGGUAGACAU
rnacentral:rRNA from 1 species